GAUGAACGCUGGCGGCGUGCCUAAUACAUGCAAGUCGAACGAAGCACUUUUGUGCUUAGUGGCGAACGGGUGAGUAAAAGAUAAGUAACCUACCCUUAACGGGGGGAUAACGAUCGGAAACGAACGCUAAGACCGCAUAGGUAAUAGAACUGCAUGGUUCUAUUAUUAAAUAUCCUACGGGAUAGGUAAAGGAUGGACUUAUCACGCAUUAGCUAGUUGGAGAGGUAACGGCUCCCCAAGGCGACGAUGCGUAGCCGGCCUGAGAGGGCGGACGGCCACACUGGGACUGAGACACGGCCCAGACUCCUACGGGAGGCAGCAGUAGGGAAUUUUCGGCAAUGGGCGAAAGCCUGACCGAGCAACGCCGCGUGAACGAAGAAGGUCUUCGGAUUGUAAAGUUCUGUUGUUGAGGGAAGAAGAUACAUUAUAGGGAAUGAUAGUGUAGUGACGGUACUCAAUUAGAAAGGCCACGGCUAACUACGUG
rnacentral:rRNA from 1 species